UUAUUUAAAGAUUAAUUAAUCACCUUAAUAUCUUCAAUAUUAUACUCUUAAAUCUUAAGCUAUUUAAAU
rnacentral:tRNA from 1 species